CCUACGGGAGGCAGCAGUGAGGAAUAUUGGUCAAUGGGCGAGAGCCUGAACCAGCCAAGUCGCGUGAGGGAGUACUGCCCUAUGGGUUGUAAACCUCUUUUGUCGGGGAGCAAAAGCCGGACGUGUCCGGCUGUGAGAGUACCCGAAGAAAAAGCAUCGGCUAACUCCGUGCCAGCAGCCGCGGUAAUACGGAGGAUGCGAGCGUUAUCCGGAUUUAUUGGGUUUAAAGGGGGCGCAGGCGGAUUUUUAAGUCAGCGGUAAAAUCGUGGGGCUCAACCCCAUCCAGCCGUUGAAACUGGGGAUCUAGAGUGUGCGAGAGGUAUGCGGAAUGCGUGGUGUAGCGGUGAAAUGCAUAGAUAUCACGCAGAACCCCGAUUGCGAAGGCAGCAUACCGGUGCACAACUGACGCUCAGGCACGAAAGCGUGGGUAUCGAACAGGAUUAGAUACCCUAGUAGUC
rnacentral:rRNA from 1 species